UACGGAGGGAGCAAGCGUUACUCGGAAUCAUUGGGCGUAAAGGGCGCGUAGGCGAUUCGGUAAGUCUCAUGUGAAAGCCCACAGCCUAACUGUGGAAGUGCAUGAGAUACUGUCGAAUUUGAGUUCAGGAGAGGAAGGCAGAAUUCCCGGGUGUAGCGGUGAAACGCGUAGAUAAUCGGGAGGAAUACCAGUGGCGAAGGCGGACCUU
rnacentral:rRNA from 1 species